rnacentral:tRNA from 1 species
GGGAUUGUAGCUCAGUGGUAGAGCACUCACCUAGCAUGUGUGAAGCACUGGGUUCAAUCCUCAGUGCCA